GGUGCAUGGUUGUCGUCAGCUCGUGUCGUGAGAUGUGGGUUAAGUCCCGCAACGAGCGCAACCCUCGACCUUAGUUGCCAGCAUUCAGUUGGGCACUCUAAGGUGACUGCCGGCUAAAAGUCGGAGGAAGGUGGGGAUGACGUCAAAUCAUCAUGCCCCUUAUGACCUGGGCUACACACGUGCUACAAUGGGCGGUACAAAGGGUCGCGAACCCGCGAGGGGGAGCCAAUCCCAAAAAGCCGCUCUCAGUUCGGAUUGCAGGCUGCAACUCGCCUGCAUGAAGCCGGAAUCGCUAGUAAUCGCGGAUCAGCAUGCCGCGGUGAAUACGUUCCCGGGCCUU
rnacentral:rRNA from 1 species